rnacentral:lncRNA from 1 species
AACAUUAAAAAAAAAAACAAGUCAACAUAAGGUCAUAAAAGUGAUCAAAUAUAGCUGUACUCUUAAUACAUUUUCUAAAUCACAAUAUUCUGCUUUCAGGGAGAAAUAUGAGUGGGCAAGUGGCAUCAACAUUGGGACCUACAAAGCAAGAUUGCUCCCAGGUGGAUGAACCUGUGGUUCCCAGUGUUGAGCAACCUCAACAAGAGGAACCGCCAGCUGAGAUUCAGGAUAUCACACCUAGAAAGGAGGAAGUACAUGGAGAGGAUCCAGUGAAUCGUGAUGAAGAAGAGGAGAAGGAUCCCUUUGAAGGUAAAGUGUAUCUGUGCGUCAUGCCUUAAGACAUAACCAGUAAGAAGAGGAAAGGAAACAUUAGAAAAGGACUUCAGACAGUUCCUAAAAAACUGAGGAGAGUAUAGUUUGCAGGUCAGUGUGGUCGCUCAAAUUUUCCCUUGUUUUCAAGACAAAGAGAAGGGGGCAACUAAGUUGUCUGAGGACAACCCUGGAAAAGGAAAAUGGUAAUAACAUUCGAAAAUUCUGCUUUCCUUUUUCUCCAGCAAAACAUUCCCGGAAUAAUGCUCCUGAGGUUCUUAUUCAUCACAUUUUUAGCAUACUAACCUAAGGCUUUUAAUUCAUAACACCGAGGGAAUGAAGAUCAUCAUUCCCUUGUUUAUAUUGUAUGCUUUACAGCUGAAUUGAUGCAUUUUUUUAAAGAUUCUGGCCUGGAAGCUGAUCUCCAGCAAUUGCUCUGGCAAAGACUGGGGGUGAAGGUGGAGAUGGUCCCGAUGUCAGGGAGGAGUUUGCAUCAAAUACAGAGCCUGUUGAAAUGCCAGAAGCAGGUAUGUCAUCCAUUCAGAAAGUAAUUUAUGUGGUUUCUGUUUUUCAGAAUAUUAUAUCUUUACUAAUAUAGAGGGAACAUUACUAUUAUUUUAAUAACAGAGUUCACAUAUUCUUUGAAAAGUAGUUCAGACCCCAGAUGCCUGAAUGCCUGACUUACAGACUUUCAAAUAAAGAAACAGACAGGAUCA